CACAGUUCACGCUGAAAAGUUGUAAACAAGCUUGACAUGCUGGUUUCAAGCUCGACGUUCGGGUUUUAAAACUUAUAAGACGAAGGUGCUUCACGUGAGGGGGCCGAAAUGGACACGAGAUUGCGAGACAGAAGUCCGAACACUCCACCCUCACAGUGAAUCAUGCCGUGGAACAAGCCGGCACCAGAAAGUGCUGUAUUUGCACAAACCAUCCAACUUGCAACACAAAAGACGUUAUGUGGAUGUGGACCAGCAAUGAAGCGAUGUCGAAUCUGAGCAGAUGUAAAAUCCAACCCCCGAAGAAUACAAUACAGAGAAGCCCUGUGCUGUGCCGUGAAUACGCGCCCACACCCGAGGGCGUGCGCACACAUCCACACUUUUCUACGCCGUUGAAAGCGAACCAGGCGAAAUUCAGAGAGAGGAGCAGACGCCUCUCAGAUGCCGAGCUUGGCUUUGUGUGCCACUUGACACAGACGGCGGCAAACAACAUAACUGUUGUUUAUUGUUUAUGGAAGGACCCUCUGCCACACUCCGCUGUCAUCUGGACACUCCGGAAGCGGCAGGAAGGAAUAAUGACGCCGGCUGUGCCACUCUUGCAACUCUAUUUCGCCCGGAGAUUGGACAUUUUUCCAUGAUCAACAAUCGAAAUAUGAAUUCAGUCAUCCAUAAGCACCUCUCGAUUAGAAUUUUCUGGCUUUGAUUAUGGCCUAGUACAAGGGUGGGCAAACUACGGCCCGGGGGCCACAUCCGGCCCGCCAAGUGUUUCAAUAUGGCCCGCCUGUUCUUUCCAAAGUAUUUUAUUUAAACUCAACAUACAACCUGGCAUCGUGGCUUGGGACAAUUUUUUGAUGGUCGAAGUAGCUGCUUUAUCAAUUUCGUUAUUUGAUGUGGUCUGUUGUUUACAAAAUACUCCUGGAAAAAGGAGCACA